rnacentral:rRNA from 1 species
AGAGUUUGAUCCUGGCUCAGGAUGAACGCUAGCGACAGGCUUAACACAUGCAAGUCGAGGGGCAGCACAGGUAGCAAUACCGGGUGGCGACCGGCGCACGGGUGAGUAACGCGUAUGCAACUUGCCUAUCAGAGGGGGAUAACCCGGCGAAAGUCGGACUAAUACCGCAUGAAGCAGGGGCCCCGCAUGGGGAUAUUUGCUAAAGAUUCAUCGCUGAUAGAUAGGCAUGCGUUCCAUUAGGCAGUUGGCGGGGUAACGGCCCACCAAACCGACGAUGGAUAGGGGUUCUGAGAGGAAGGUCCCCCACAUUGGUACUGAGACACGGACCAAACUCCUACGGGAGGCAGCAGUGAGGAAUAUUGGUCAAUGGGCGUAAGCCUGAACCAGCCAAGUCGCGUGAGGGAUGAAGGUUCUAUGGAUCGUAAACCUCUUUUAUAAGGGAAUAAAGUGCGGGACGUGUCCCGUUUUGUAUGUACCUUAUGAAUAAGGAUCGGCUAACUCCGUGCCAGCAGCCGCGGUAAUACGGAGGAUCCGAGCGUUAUCCGGAUUUAUUGGGUUUAAAGGGUGCGUAGGCGGCCUUUUAAGUCAGCGGUGAAAGUCUGUGGCUCAACCAUAGAAUUGCCGUUGAAACUGGGGGGCUUGAGUAUGUUUGAGGCAGGCGGAAUGCGUGGUGUAGCGGUGAAAUGCUUAGAUAUCACGCAGAACCCCGAUUGCGAAGGCAGCCUGCCAAGCCAUGACUGACGCUGAUGCACGAAAGCGUGGGGAUCAAACAGGAUUAGAUACCCUGGUAGUCCACGCAGUAAACGAUGAUCACUAGCUGUUUGCGAUACACUGUAAGCGGCACAGCGAAAGCGUUAAGUGAUCCACCUGGGGAGUACGCCGGCAACGGUGAAACUCAAAGGAAUUGACGGGGGCCCGCACAAGCGGAGGAACAUGUG